UACGUAGGCAGCAAGCGUUGUUCGGAAUUACUGGGCGUAAAGAGUGUGUAGGCGGUGCUCUAAGUUUGGUGUGAAAUCUCCCGGCUCAACUGGGAGGGUGCGCCGAAAACUGGAAUGCUUGAACAUGGGAGAGGAAAGCGGAAUUCCUGGUGUAGCGGUGAAAUGCGUAGAUAUCAGGAGGAACACCUGCGGUGUAGACGGCUUUCUGGACCAUUGUUGACGCUGAGACACGAAAGCGUGGGUAGCAACAGG
rnacentral:rRNA from 1 species